UACAGAGGUGGCAAGCGUUGUUCGGAUUUAUUGGGCGUAAAGGGUCCGUAGGCGGUUCGGAAAGUCGGAUGUGAAAUCCCACAGCUCAACUGUGGAACUGCAUUCGAAACUCCCGGACUAGAGUGUGAGAGGGGUUAAGGGAAUUCCCGGUGUAAGGGUGAAAUCUGCAGAGAUCGGGAGGAACACCAGUCGCGAAGGCGCUUAACUGGCUCAUUACUGACGCUCAGGGACGAAAGCUAGGGGAGCAAACGGG
rnacentral:rRNA from 1 species